rnacentral:rRNA from 1 species
AGUGAACGCUGGCGGCAGGCCUAACACAUGCAAGUCGAACGGCAGCACAAGAGAGCUUGCUCUCUGUGUGGCGAGUGGCGGACGGGUGAGGAAUGCAUCGGAAUCUGCCCAUUUGUGGGGGAUAACCUCGGGAAACCGUGACUAAUACCGCAUACGACCUACGGGUAAAAGCUGUGGAUCUUCGGACCUUGCGCAGAUGGAUAAGCCGCUGCCGGUUUAGCUAGUUGGAGGGGUAAAGGCCCACCAAUGCGACGAUCCGUAGCUGGUCUGAGAGGAUGAUCAGCCACACUGAGACUGAGACACGGCCCAGACUCCUACGGGAGGCAGCAGUGGGGAAUAUUGGACAAUGGGCGCAAGCCUGAUCCAGCCAUGCCGCGUGUGUGAAGAAGGCCUUCGGGUUGUAAAGCACUUUUGUUGGGAAAGAAAAGCAGCCGGUUAAUACCCGGUUGUCAUGACGGUACCCAAAGAAUAAGCACCGGCUAACUUCGUG